CGGCCCGGUAAGUCGUCCCUGAAUCCACGGGCUCAACCCGUGGGCUGGGGACGAUACUGCCGGGCUUGGGGCGGGAGAGGCCGAGGGUAUUCCCGGGUAGGGGUAAAUCCUCUGAUCCCGGGAGGACCAUCAGUGGCGAAGGCGGGGCGCCAGAACACGCCCGACGGUGAGGGGCGAAAGCUGGGGGAGCAAACGGGAUUAGAUACCCCGGUAGUCCCAGCUGUAAACGAUGCGGGCUAGCUGUCGGAGCGGCUACGGGGCCGCCCCGGUGGCGAAGGGAAGCCAUUAAGCCCGCCGCCUGGGGA
rnacentral:rRNA from 1 species